GUCUACGGCCAUACCACCCUGAACGCGCCCGAUCUCGUCUGAUCUCGGAAGCUAAGCAGGGUCGGGCCUGGUUAGUACUUGGAUGGGAGAAGAGGACAAGUGAAGAAGGAA
rnacentral:rRNA from 1 species